rnacentral:lncRNA from 1 species
AAAUAAAUAUUUACUUUUACUUAGGUAUUUUUUAUAACUCAUCUAUUACUUAUCGAAGUCGAUAAGAAUUAUGAAAAUGGAGUUAGUAUUCAAACGGUGGUUGUGAAUUCCUAACUUCAUCCUCUUGUGUAGAGAUCAAGCGUGUGUUUUAUACGAGUGGCUGCUAGAAACUAUACUAAUGGCCUCCCGCGUAUAUAAGAAGUAGCUAGAGGAGGUAGGAAAUAAUGAUAAGGAGAAAUAUGUGUUAUAAAUUUCUAGUAUACUUAGUACGUUUCGUAUUAUCGUUUUAAUUUUUUCAAGAGUACAACUCGAAACGUACACGAACACACAUCACACUCACACCAUAACGCAUGCAUACACACGCACACAUGUACGCGUCACUACCCCACGAUUAAGAUUUUGGGUGCGUACGCUUGUAAGGGGAAAAUCAUCGGGUGAGACACGCGAGUUGCGAUCCCAGGGAUCGAACUCGCGUGGGUUGCUUGUGCGCCCGCAUGGCUAGCCACCCGAGCAAAGCUC